rnacentral:rRNA from 1 species
GACGAACGCUGGCGGCGUGCUUAACACAUGCAAGUCGAACGGAAAGGCCCUGCUUUUGUGGGGUGCUCGAGUGGCGAACGGGUGAGUAACACGUGAGUAACCUGCCCUUGACUUUGGGAUAACUUCAGGAAACUGGGGCUAAUACCGGAUAGGAGCUCCUGCUGCAUGGUGGGGGUUGGAAAGUUUCGGCGGUUGGGGAUGGACUCGCGGCUUAUCAGCUUGUUGGUGGGGUAGUGGCUUACCAAGGCUUUGACGGGUAGCCGGCCUGAGAGGGUGACCCGCCACAUUGGGACUGGGAUACGGCCCCGCCUCCUACGGGAGGCAGCAGUGGGGAAUAUUGCACACUGGGCGGAAGCCUGAUGCAGCAACGCCGCGUGCGGGAUGACGGCCUUCGGGUUGUAAACCGCUUUCGCCUGUGACGAAGCGUGAGUGACGGUAAUGGGUAAAGAAGCACCGGCUAACUACGUG